rnacentral:miRNA from 1 species
CAUGUAACAAGUUGGCUGUCA